UUGGUUUUUAAUAUCCUUGCUUUGCUGGCUACGUAAUCACCUGUAACGUAUUUCACUUCAGCUUGCUGGACCUCUUUUGUUGAAUUAAUUUAUUAAAACAAGGUGAAUAUUUUUCUUCUCUGCAUGUUAUAAAACGUGAUCUCACUUAAUGUUCUGUAUGAGAAGAUUGCUCUGCUAUCAGAGGCAGGGUACACAAAGAGCAGCAACUAUAAUGUGAAUUGCUGAGAGAAGGAAAGAUGCCUCAAAAUAGAUAAUGCCAAAUUAAAAAUAACCACAAGAUAGCCAUGCUUAUCUAUGCCACAGACAAAUCAAAAAUCCCUAAUCCAGCCCCCUCCCUAAUAGAGCAAGUUAUCUGUACUGAAACUUUUUCUUAGCCUGAUUUUUGAGUCAUGGAAAUAGGUAAGACUUAGAUGAAGUUACUGCGUUUCACAUCACUGAGAUGGGCAGAGCACUCAUCUCCCUGCUUUCAGCUGAGUCUGCUGGAAAGCUACCACCAGUCCCAGCAAGCAUUUUUUUAAAAAGCUGGGUUUUUUGCAAAAAUAAGGGCUCAGCCUGCAGGAGUGCAAGCCUGAACUUGUAAAUCAUCCCUUUGAUGCCAAGAGGUGGUAAACUGAACCUCUACCUCCCUCAAGCACCUACUAGGCAAGUAAACAAAUUAUGAUGGUAGCUCAUGUCUUGCUGAGCUGAGUCUGUGACCUCCAUCUAGCCAAGUAAAGGAGCAGUGUUAUUAGCUAACAUAUUGCCCUGUUCCUCACCUCCAGAUGUUGGUAUAAUUUUUUACAACGUAUAUCCAAAAAACCUAUUACUUGGAUGUGUAUUUAGUCUUAAAAAAAAAAAAGACAAAAAUAGAUAGUAACACUUAAAUAUAGUUGUGAUUGGUGCCUGAAAAGCCACCAAAACCAGAAUAUUCAGGGCUUCCCAUCUGAAAAGCUCUCUUCUUCCCCAUCAUGAAAUAAAAGAUAGUAAAAAUUACGGCACUAGAUCUCCUUCACUCAGGUUGACCUUUAGUUAGGAGAAUAAGCAAACAAACUAUGUGGACAAUAACCACUGUCUCUUCCUUUCUCUAAAAAAAAAAAAAAAAAAAAAAAAGGGGGGUGGGGGUGGGGGGAAGGAAUCCAACCUUGGCCAGAAAGACCACAUUCCCUCAAGACUGCAAAUCAGAAGGAAAGAUUUUCUGCUCCUUAACACUCCUGUGUGAAGGCACAUAUGAACACCCUGCUGGAAUAUGCAAUGCAGAUGACGACGGUAAAAGCAGCUCUGCGAUACCAGAGAAAUACGUUAACUCAGAGUAUUAAUUGUGAGGUGAAGGGGAGGAAGGUGAACAAAAGGUCCCUUCUUCAUGCUAUGACGCUUAUUGAUACUUCUGUUACACUUUCAUUUUGCAAGUGUUUUUCCAUCACUAGCUAUGGAGAAAGAUGUCAUUGAUGUGGCUGGCUUUGAGAUUUAGUGAACAAUUUCUAAGAGGCAGAGAAAUAGCUAUUGUGAUAUACUGGCAACUUCUAGCAGUGUAUAAGUUGCUUUUGAUCCCAUGUCCAUCCUCCAUUUUUGGUUCAUUUAUGUUGAAAGUCAACCUGUUUGUGCAGAGACUUUCCCCAUGCUUCAAAUCAGGAAAACUGGCUCAAGGAAUCCUCUAGAACUCAGCAUAUAGAACAGCCUGUGAGAAUGUUGUCAUUCUUUUUUUUUUUCCUUCUUCUAUUGUUUUCCAGAAAGAAGGGAUGGAGAGAAUAACUGCCUUAAAAUGCCAUGAAUAUUAUGAGUUUUUGUCAGUCCCAGCAGCCAUGAUAAAUAUUUGUAAAGCUUUAAAGGGAGUAGUGUAUAAAUGUACUAGGGUAGUUAAGAUAACGUACUUUCACUGAGGUGUGGUUUCCUCUUUCUGCUUACUGUGCCAGAAGGAAAGGCAGUUUUCAAAGUUCACUGGGAUUCAGUCAGGUUAAUCCUACUGAAAUAAAAGGGAGCAGAUCCCCCUGGUCGACUCAGAAGCCUCCUCCAGCACUACAAAACAUUUUCUACCGUUAAAAGCAUUCUCAAUGUCAAGUACUUUUAUUUUGGCAGCCUCCUACAGUCUCAGUUCGAAACUUGCAUUAUUAUGAAAAUAGUAUUGCUUUAUAUUUCUGUUUUGACAUGAUCCUACUUAACAGAUACUAGGAGAUUCUUAGGGGUAUCCAACCCUGAUCAUAUCUGAGGGUGUUUCCCAGCUCUCCAGGGUAUCUGAAGGAUGAAACAUUCGUUCUGUUUGUAUCCAGACAGCUGCACAAUCAUUUUGAGUUAGGAACAAAUAUAGCAAGCCACAGAUAACAACACAAAAUAUUGGUUCUUUGUUAAAGCAUAUCACUAAAAAAAAUAUAUCUCCAAAAUACUGGGGUGGGGAGAACAACAAAAACCAAAACGAUGGGGGAGGGGGAACCACACAACCCCCUCAACCUGUACCAUGGAUUUGUGCUUAGGUUACAACAGAACCUUUAGUUGCUUUCCUAAGUUUCAGCGAUGAGGAACUGGGUCUAGAACAAGUUCCUAGAUCCUAAAACUAGAAAUCAUCUUUAAUUCUUCUAGACUAACAUUCUUGACAUGGCAGCCUGCUGUGUUUCACCUAUUGUCCAUCUGCUGAGCCCUGUAACAUGUUUUUCACUGAGGCAUACAAAUGUUUUUGAUAAUUAACUCAGCGGCAUUGUAAGAUACAAAGGAAAUCUACCAUUCUGCCUGGUACUCUGCCUCAGCUCUUCAUCAUCCGUGCUGUUUAAAAUUACUGCCAACUGUUUGAAACAUCCAGAUUGUGAUAACUCUGCUAUAUUUAAGAGAGACUGAAAAGUCCCUUACUGUAUAAAUGUGCACUAACUGUGAGGAUAUGCUUUCCGUGUCUAAGUUCAGGUAACAAGUUAUUCAGACUGCCCUAGGGAGACCUGUCAUUUAUCAGUUGUGUUGUCAGAAUGUUGGGGUCUUUUUCCAAUUAAAAGUUAGUCUUGCCCCUCACUGACUCUUCCCUAAUAUGAUUAUAAACAGUAAUGAUUGUUAAAUGCUUCAUCUUGUUUGAAGUUAGCUUAAAUUAAUGUUUACUCUUUUUAAAGAUGGUUUCAAUAAAAGUAAUUUGUCAGGAUGAGUUCUGAGUCUUUGAGAUAUGGAUUUUAAAGUGUUUUAAUACAUCCUGCAAAGAACCUCUCACCUUUUAAUGUUCCAUACAAGAUCAAGGUUGAAAUGUGACCUUGGUUCACACCAUUAAGCAAGUAAAGGUUAGAGCUCUGUUCACUGUUUAAAUCAUAUUUACUAUUGAUGUUGAUUAAACCUUAUUUUUGUUUCCUUAAGUAUUAGGCUUCACAGUAAAGGAACAAUAAAAGCCUAAUAUGCUGCCAGCUUGCAAGGAGAGAAAGUAAUUGUACGCCCAAAGGCAGCCUGCUCUGGAGUUCAGAGCCAGACUCCGUGAGCUGAUUUGGGGCGAGCGUGCUUUCGUUUCUCCAGUUCAGAGAUCAGACACUGUUUAGCUGCCUCCAAGAUGCACCGUAAGGAUGCCUGUGUUAAGGCUAUACAGUAAAGGCUUACCUAUUCAAACACAGCACUCAUAGUAAUGCAAAGGUAAGCUUCCAGAACUGUAGAGCCCACUUAUCCUGCCAAGGAGGUGUACAAGAUGAAGGAUACUGCCUGCCUUUGAGGAGUUCUGGCACUGGAUGUAGUCUAUAGGAAAUAUUUUACAAAAGCAUCACCUGUUUGCCUGUGUGUGGCUUACAGACCUCUGUAUGGUUUGAGACACUGCUUGUGAGCACUGUCUUCUCAAUGCAUUGUAAGGAGGAGUUCUUUCUUUUUCUUCGGUUUAAGAGGAGUUUCUUUAAUUACAAAGGCAGUAAACAGAAAGUUGGGUUGCAAAAUACCGCUUAAAAGCGUUGCUUUCCAUUUUCCUGCACGACUGUCAACCAAGUCCCCUUCUCUGUGCACGUGCGCACAUGUUGCACCCUGACAUCUUAAUGUUCAGCUGCUGUCAUCGCCUUACUGGUGAUGUUAAUGAUUAAUGCUUUGAAAUUUUUAAAAAAUUAUUCUGCAGACCAAGUUUUUUUCCUUAAGAGCCUCUUAAAAAAAAAAAAAAAAGGGGGGGGUGGAGGUGAGUGGGUGUUUCUCAAAUACAGGAAAAUACAAGCAGGAUUGUGCAGAAACUUUCAGUUAUUAUUAUGUGUAAUGGUUUAAGAAACCAUCCAUAAAGUAUUUUUUAAACGCUGUCACAAAACUAGUUUCAAAUGUUUUAAUACAGAUGUGUGUGAAGUGUAACAUGCUAAGCAUAUCAGAAGAUAGUUAGAGAACUGUACUCAAACAGUUUCAUAACCCAGUGUUUGUUAAAUGUGUAAUUCAUCACCUGAGGUCUUGAAAAAGACUUCAAUGGCUUUGGCUUAUUUUUGGAUAUUUGGGGGGGGGGGCUAAGUGUUUCAAAAGGAAAAAAGUUAUUUAACCCGCCUCAAAAUAUUAUGGAGAAGAAAAGACUUCUUUCUUUCCCUGUAGUACCUUUCCUCCUAGUUUAACCUGUUUCAUUUUCAGCUAUAGUUACUGUAGUGCCUGGUCUUGUUGCUCUUACAUAUUUCUUACAGAAGCAGAAAAUCCGUCAAGUUUUCAGUCUUAACAUAGACUUAGAGCAGCAUUUUAUAGUCCAUCUCUUCACCUCUAAAACAGAAGUUCAUUUCUUACUGGCAUCCAAUUCUGAGGUGGCAUUUACAACUGUAAUAAAAUAAUAACUUUGGGUAAUGCCCCUGCUAUUUCACUAGCAGCCAAAUACAAGGCCUACCAAAUAUUAUAAAUAACAGGAUAAAUUUGGAAUUGACAGGCUUGCCAAAUAAAACAUUACCUCAACAGGGCCUUGAAUUUUUAACUGAAAUAUAACAGCAAUGACUAUAACCCUGGCACAUGGCAAAACAAAAGCCUUUUUUCUUGUCUAGUUGUCUGUUUGGUAAAUGCUACCUAAAAUGUCAUUACUGUAAAAGUGGAAACAUUCUCUCUCGCAGCCAUGUAACAACAUCAAGGGGUUCUACACUUUUAGAUUAACGUUUUUCUUUACUUCUCAGGCGCACAACUCCACUAACAAGGUCUCCAGUCAUACCACAAUUCAUUUCUCCAACUGCUCAUGCCCUAGACGUGCUCCUCCCCUGUUCUGAAGCCUUGUCCAGGGCUUGGGGUGGCAGGAGGGGCUUCUUGCGGGGCCCCAGCACUCCCACUGAAGCAGCCAAGCCCUCUGCACCUCCCAGAGGGCUUCAGCUGCAAGAGGAGGACACCAGUCCCAAGCGUCUUGUGAAUGAGGCCUAGAUUUUUAAUGAAGGGCAAGACAAGAUGAUUCAGGUGUGGCUUCAGUUCCUAGUGCAGCGGUUUUGCAAGAGCGAGGAUGCAACAGACAGGCUCGUUUUCUGCCCAGGGAGGCUAAGCCCACGUUGCCGCUUAAUGCAAAAAAUUGCUACACCUGCCUGGUGCCAAAUUUCCUCCUCUGUCAGACAGCCUGAGCAACUGAUGCUGAAAUCUGACCCUAAUUACUAACCAUAAAUGAUUCCACUCCUCUUUGCUCUCCCGGAGGGCCAAGAGUCCUCUGACACUACCCACAUUUUCUUCCUUUACUUCUCAUGUGCUCUCCCUAUGACCGAGCUGAUAGUUCAGCUCAGAGGAGACUUUGAGAAAGUAAGGUUGAUUUUUUUUUCACAUCCAGUGCUGAGCUCUGUAUUCGCAUUGCUGACUUUAAGUCAGUAACAAGCUUUGACCGAAGCUCCUCGCGUGGAAGGGAAGCUCCCGGGGACCAGCUCCCCUCGCAAAGCGUAUCACCGUGAAAGCACGACCGCUUUUGCAAAACCUUACAAGGAUUUUAUAAAGUACCUCCAUUCUGGCAGUUGUGUACAUUGCAUAUAAAUGAGACAAUUAAAAUGUGUUAUUGUUUUAGAACUAUCAAGUGACACUGGAGCCUUUUAAAUUAAAGAUCUAGUGAACCUAGCUACCUUCAAUACUAAUGACAAGGAUGAUAUAACGGGCUAUUUUUUGGCUGUAAAAUUGGAAACUAUGGAAGUGUGGUUGACAUUAUCAUACUUGAGUACUGAAGUCAUGUACUGAUGAGUAUGUGCUGUACCAAAUAAUAAAAUUAUUUCUCCCAGGCAGUUGAACACAUUUGCAAAUAUUCAAGGGGGUUUUCCCUCAGGCAAUUUUAUAAAUUUAGGUUUUAGCAUUUUGCAUAGUUUCUAUACUAAAUACCACUCCUAGAACAAAAGUGUUAGUGUACUAUAUAUAAAUCAUUUUGGUCUGCAUGUUCCUUAGCCUAUUUUCUUUUUAAACCAUUAUUAAGAAGUAAUGCUAGAUGCAAACCAUCUGAAACAUAAUAUAUUUGGUCUAUAGUAUUUCACAAGGGAAAAUGAGUUUCAUAUUUUCUUUUAAAUCACUUAUGCUCCUGUGAUUACAUGGACUAUGUAUGGUGACCUACACUUUUCCAGACAAACGUUUGGAUCUAUAGCAUGCUUCUGCUGAGGACUGUCUUCAAUCACGUGAGCUCUGUACAAACAAAACCUCUAGUUCUUGGUCUUAAAUUCUCCUGCGUGGUGUGUCACUCGAACAGAUUCUGGAUGUGCUGCAGCACAAUGUAUUCAUCUCUGUGUCAUACAGCUAAGACUUUGUUUUGUUGUCAGUAAACUUUCUUACUGAACUUUGUAAAAUUUCAAGACAAACUGUGUAACAAAAGAAAUGGGGGUAGUUCUCUGCAAGAGGAUCAGAGAAAGGGAAGAAGUCUUUCAUCAAGACAUUUUCCUUUAGCAGCAAGUCUUCAAGUUACAGGAGAGAUCCCCCUGCAAAGAGUACUCUAUAUUUUUUAAGAUCAUAAAGCUUUAAAAAUAAUUUUUAGGGAAAGUUACAUACCCUUUAACAAUUUCAUAUUUCAUUGAUAAUGUGCUCCACCUGGCAGGGAAAAAUGGAAGGUUGAUAAAAAGAAAUGGGCCAACUUCCACUCUCA